rnacentral:rRNA from 1 species
GGGUUGUGAGGUUAAGCGACUAAGCGUACACGGUGGAUGCCCUGGCAGUCAGAGGCGAUGAAGGGCGUGCUAAUCUGCGAUAAGCGCCGGUAAGGUGAUAUGAACCGUUAUAACCGGCGAUACCCGAAUGGGGAAACCCAGUGUGAUUCGUCACACUAUCAUUAACUGAAUCCAUAGGUUAAUGAGGCGAACCGGGGGAACUGAAACAUCUAAGUACCCCGAGGAAAAGAAAUCAACCGAGAUUCCCCCAGUAGCGGCGAGCGAACGGGGAGGAGCCCAGAGCCUGAAUCAGCAUGUGUGUUAGUGGAAGCGUCUGGAAAGGCGCGCGAUACAGGGUGACAGCCCCGUACACAAAAGCGCAUGUGCUGUGAGCUCGAUGAGUAGGGCGGGACACGUGGUAUCCUGUCUGAAUAUGGGGGGACCAUCCUCCAAGGCUAAAUACUCCUGACUGACCGAUAGUGAACCAGUACCGUGAGGGAAAGGCGAAAAGAACCCCGGCGAGGGGAGUGAAAAAGAACCUGAAACCGUGUACGUACAAGCAGUGGGAGCCCCACCACUAAGCCAGUGGUGAACUCCACAUACGCAUCCUUUGCUGAGGAUACGGUUAACGGAGCGAAAGCGACGUUCAACCGCAAAAGAAGCAGAGGGGGCUUAGUGGUGGGGUGACUGCGUACCUUUUGUAUAAUGGGUCAGCGACUUAUAUUCUGUAGCAAGGUUAACCGAAUAGGGGAGCCGGAGGGAAACCGAGUCUUAAUUGGGCGUUAAGUUGCAGGGUAUAGACCCGAAACCCGGUGAUCUAGCCAUGGGCAGGUUGAAGGUUGGGUAACACUAACUGGAGGACCGAACCGACUAAUGUUGAAAAAUUAGCGGAUGACCUGUGGCUGGGGGUGAAAGGCCAAUCAAACCGGGAGAUAGCUGGUUCUCCCCGAAAGCUAUUUAGGUAGCGCCUCGUGAAUUCAUCUCCGGGGGUAGAGCACUGUUUCGGCUAGGGGGCCAUCCCGGCUUACCAACCCGAUGCAAACUGCGAAUACCGGAGAAUGUUAUCACGGGAGACACACGGCGGGUGCUAACGUCCGUCGUGAAGAGGGAAACAACCCAGACCGCCAGCUAAGGUCCCAAAGUCAUGGUUAAGUGGGAAACGAUGUGGGAAGGCCCAGACAGCCAGGAUGUUGGCUUAGAAGCAGCCAUCAUUUAAAGAAAGCGUAAUAGCUCACUGGUCGAGUCGGCCUGCGCGGAAGAUGUAACGGGGCUAAACCAUGCACCGAAGCUGCGGCAGCGAACGUAUCACUUAAAGCGAUUCAGCGGGUUACGAUUGACGGAGCGAAGCGACGUCAAAGCGUAUACAAAGUCGAGUCGGUUUAAGGAUACGUUCGUUGGGUAGGGGAGCGUUCUGUAAGCCUGUGAAGGUGGCCUGUGAGGGUUGCUGGAGGUAUCAGAAGUGCGAAUGCUGACAUAAGUAACGAUAAAGCGGGUGAAAAGCCCGCUCGCCGGAAGACCAAGGGUUCCUGUCCAACGUUAAUCGGGGCAGGGUGAGUCGACCCCUAAGGCGAGGCCGAAAGGCGUAGUCGAUGGGAAACGGGUUAAUAUUCCCGUACUUGGUGUUACUGCGAAGGGGGGACGGAGAAGGCUAUGUUGGCCGGGCGACGGUUGUCCCGGUUUAAGCGUGUAGGUGUGUGUUCCAGGUAAAUCCGGUUCACUUUAACACUGAGGCGUGAUGACGAGGCACUACGGUGCUGAAGCAACAAAUGCCCUGCUUCCAGGAAAAGCCUCUAAGCAUCAGGUAACAUCAAAUCGUACCCCAAACCGACACAGGUGGUCAGGUAGAGAAUACCAAGGCGCUUGAGAGAACUCGGGUGAAGGAACUAGGCAAAAUGGUGCCGUAACUUCGGGAGAAGGCACGCUGACACGUAGGUGAAGUGAUUUACUCAUGGAGCUGAAGUCAGUCGAAGAUACCAGCUGGCUGCAACUGUUUAUUAAAAACACAGCACUGUGCAAACACGAAAGUGGACGUAUACGGUGUGACGCCUGCCCGGUGCCGGAAGGUUAAUUGAUGGGGUCAGCGCAAGCGAAGCUCCUGAUCGAAGCCCCGGUAAACGGCGGCCGUAACUAUAACGGUCCUAAGGUAGCGAAAUUCCUUGUCGGGUAAGUUCCGACCUGCACGAAUGGCGUAAUGAUGGCCAGGCUGUCUCCACCCGAGACUCAGUGAAAUUGAACUCGCUGUGAAGAUGCAGUGUACCCGCGGCAAGACGGAAAGACCCCGUGAACCUUUACUAUAGCUUGACACUGAACAUUGAGCCUUGAUGUGUAGGAUAGGUGGGAGGCUUUGAAGUGUGGACGCCAGUCUGCAUGGAGCCGACCUUGAAAUACCACCCUUUAAUGUUUGAUGUUCUAACGUGGACCCGUGAUCCGGGUUGCGGACAGUGUCUGGUGGGUAGUUUGACUGGGGCGGUCUCCUCCUAAAGAGUAACGGAGGA